AUUGAACGCUGGCGGCAGGCCUAACACAUGCAAGUCGAGCGGAUGAAGGGAGCUUGCUCCUGGAUUCAGCGGCGGACGGGUGAGUAAUGCCUAGGAAUCUGCCUGGUAGUGGGGGAUAACGUCCGGAAACGGGCGCUAAUACCGCAUACGUCCUGAGGGAGAAAGUGGGGGAUCUUCGGACCUCACGCUAUCAGAUGAGCCUAGGUCGGAUUAGCUAGUUGGUGGGGUAAAGGCCUACCAAGGCGACGAUCCGUAACUGGUCUGAGAGGAUGAUCAGUCACACUGGAACUGAGACACGGUCCAGACUCCUACGGGAGGCAGCAGUGGGGAAUAUUGGGCAGUGGGCGGAAGCCUGAUCCAGCCAGGCCGCGUGUGUGAAGAAGGUCUUCGGAUUGUAAAGCACGUUAAGUUGGGAGGAAGGGCAGUAAGUUAAUACCGUGCUGUUUUGACGUUACCAACAGAAUAAGCACCGGCUAACUUCGUGC
rnacentral:rRNA from 1 species